UGGGGAAUAUUGGACAAUGGGGGCAACCCUGAUCCAGCCAUGCCGCGUGAGUGAUGAAGGCCUUAGGGUUGUAAAGCUCUUUCGCCGGUGAAGAUAAUGACGGUAACCGGUAAAGAAGCCCCGGCUAACUUCGUGCCAGCAGCCGCGGUAAUACGAAGGGGGCUAGCGUUGUUCGGACUUACUGGGCGUAAAGCGCACGCAGGUGGUAACGCAAGUGGGGUGUGAAAGCCGCCACCUCAACUGGCGGAGGCCAUCCCAAUCUGCGUCACUUGAGGUCUGUAGAGGUAUGUGGAAUUGCCGGUGUAGUGGUGAAAUGCGUAGAGAUCGGCAGGAACACCGAGGGGGAAAUCAGCAUACUGGACAGGUCCUGACACUCAGGUGCGACAGCGUGGGGAGCGAACCGGAUUAGAUACCCGCGUAGUCC
rnacentral:rRNA from 1 species